AGUGAACGCUGGCGGUAGGCCUAACACAUGCAAGUCGAACGACAGCACAGUAAGAUCUUGCUCUUACGGGUGGCGAGUGGCGGACGGGUGAGGAAUACAUCGGCAUCUACUUUUUCGUGGGGGAUAACGUAGGGAAACUUACGCUAAUACCGCAUACGACCUACGGGUGAAAGCAGGGGAUCUUCGUACCUUGCGCGAUUGAAUGAGCCGAUGUCGGAUUAGCUAGUUGGCGGGGUAAAGGCCCACCAAGGCGACGAUCCGUAGCUGGUCUGAGAGGAUGAUCAGCCACACUGGAACUGAGACACGGUCCAGACUCCUACGGGAGGCAGCAGUGGGGAAUAUUGGACAAUGGGCGCAAGCCUGAUCCAGCAAUACCGCGUGGGUGAAGAAGGCCUUCGGGUUGUAAAGCCCUUUUGUUGGGAAAGAAAAGCAGCAGGUUAAAACCCCGAUGUUCUGACGGUACCUAAAGAAUAAGCACCGGCUAACUUCGUG
rnacentral:rRNA from 1 species